rnacentral:rRNA from 1 species
AUUGAACGCUGGCGGCAGGCCUAACACAUGCAAGUCGAACGAGUGGCGGACGGGUGAGUAAUGUCUGGGAAACUGCCUGAUGGAGGGGGAUAACUACUGGAAACGGUAGCUAAUAACGCAUACCAUCAGAUGUGCCCAGAUGGGAUUAGCUAGUGGGUGGGGUAACGGCUCACCAAGGCGACGAUCCCUAGCGGGUCUGAGAGGAUGACCAGCCACACGGGAACUGAGACACGUGUCAGACGCCUACGGGAGGCAGCAGGGGGGAAGAUUGCACAAUGGGCGCAAGCCUGAUGCAGCCAUGCCGCGUGGAUGAAGAAGGCCUUCGGGGUGUAAAGUACUUGCAGCGGGGAGGCGUUACCCGCAGAAGAAGCACCGGCUAACUCCGUGCCAGCAGCCGCGGUAAUUC